rnacentral:RNase_P_RNA from 1 species
AGCAGGACGGGUGAUCGCGGCAGCAACAGCUGACGAGGAAAGUCCGGGCUUCAUAGGGCAGGAUGCCGGAUAACGUCCGGUGGAGGCGACUCCCAGACCAGUGCAACAGAAAUAUACCGCCCUUCGGGGUAAGGGUGAAAUGGCAGUGUAAGAGACUACCGCCUGUGUGGUAACAGACAGGGCACAUGUAAACUCCAUCUGAAGCAAGACCAAGCAGGAAGCAUUGACCUUGCCCGGCGAGCUUCCAGGUAGGUCGCUUGAGGCGGUCGGUAACGGCCGUCCUAGAUAGAUGAUCAUCCAAGACAUAACCCGGCUUACAGUUCUGCUUGU